UACGUAGGGGGCUAGCGUUGUCCGGAUUUAUUGGGCGUAAAGAGCGUGUAGGCGGCCAGGUAGGUCUGGUGUGAAAACUCGAGGCUUAACCUCGAGAUGUCAUCGGAAACCAUUUGGCUAGAGUCCGGAAGAGGAGAGUGGAAUUCCUGGUGUAGCGGUGAAAUGCGCAGAUAUCGGGAGGAACACCAGUGGCGAAGGCGACUACCUGGCCUGUUUCUUGACGCUGAGGCGCGAAAGCUAGGGGAGCAAACGGG
rnacentral:rRNA from 1 species